rnacentral:rRNA from 1 species
UACGUAGGGACCGAGCGUUGUCCGGAAUCAUUGGGCGUAAAGAGCGUGUAGGCGGUCCGGUAAGUCGGCUGUGAAAGUCCAGGGCUCAACCCUGGGAUGCCGGUCGAUACUGCGGGGCUAGAGUGCAGAAGGGGCAACUGGAAUUCUCGGUGUAGCGGUGAAAUGCGUAGAUAUCGAGAGGAACACCUGCGGCGAAGGCGGGUUGCUGGGCUGACACUGACGCUGAGGCGCGAAAGCUAGGGGAGCGAACGGG